AAGCCUCAGGUUAUGUGUGACGACCCCCUGAUUUUAAGCAUAAAAA
rnacentral:rRNA from 1 species